UUACCAUUAAUAACAGCAUUCACGGCAUCUUUCUGAACUUUAGAUUUAAAUUCCUUAUAUUUGAACACAUCUUCUAGACAGCGAUAUAUUUCACGUUUAUUAUUCAUUUAAUCAUUUACAUGUAAAAUAAAUGAAAACGUUCCAGAAAGGAAAUCCAUCGAAAGUCGAUCAGCUUUCCCACCAACAUAUGUCCAACGGGGUCCGAAUUUUUCACCUUUUCUCCCUUCAAUCUUAUCAAUGCCUUCUUCUUCAGUUCUUCGCGUCCAAAACAAGAUGGCGUCACGAUAAAGCAUGUACUUCAUGUAAGGUAAGCGACCUAACUUCGCCCCGCCUGUGCGCGGGCGAAUCGACCCUGGGCCUCUUGUGCCUAGC